rnacentral:lncRNA from 1 species
GUAGACGGGAUGGUUGUGAGCGGGACAGAAACUCCACCACAAGGGUUCUGGGGGUACUACAGGGACUAAAGGAAGCAGUGUGAUCAGUGUGAAAGCAGCAAGGCCAUGAUUUAUUUCUUGGGCGUGUAGUUUUCUCCCGAGGCCUCUGCUUGGUUAUUUUACCCAGCAUCGGUGCCAAAGGAGAUUUCCCCAAAGGGAAAAGUACUGCAGUGCUCGACGCAUUACAGUCCUUUCCCGUUUGCAAGCUCUCCCACACAUUCCUUCUUCUGUUCCCAAAUCACAGGAGACGACGAGAAAGAGAACAGACCACCUGUCCAGAUAAUUUGCCUUUGGAGUCUGCAGGGCUGGUGAAGGCAUCCUGAGAUGGGGGAGGCCCCUGGGGACCUCCACAGUCAGGGCUCCCACCUCCUCUCCCACACCGCUCUGCCUCAUGCCCUGGGUUGCCUGUCUGACUGUCUCAAGACUGGGGGUUCUCCGGUGAGCAGAUGGCUGCUUAGCGUCUAUGCCGUGUGCCUGGCUUUUUCCAACCACUCCGAAUUGAUCAUUUCCUAAUGACCACAUGGCUCAGAAACUCACAGCACAUCCUUCUAGGGGCCUCUUUCUCCCAAGUCCUCCCAGGGACUUGGCAGCUUCAUCUCUAAGGCCUGCAGAGGCUGUGGCUAUGGCUGUCCAUUGUUCUCGCUCCUUGGCUUCAGUUCAGAGCCAUCAAAUCCCUGCAGCUCGCACACUGGAACAUUCAUAUUUUGGAUAAGUCAACAAAACAGCUUCUAGAAAAUGGAAAACCCAGAGUGUGAUCUACCAGGAGCUCCUGGUUUCAACCAGUUCCUUGCUGUACCUGCUGGGCCUGUGAUACGAAGAAACAUCAUGGCUUCAAUGGCAGCCUUGGAAAUGAACUUCAUUGAAAGGGAAUUUACACUGAGGUUUAUGAUUGCUGCUAUGAAAAGAGUGCACAUCCUUUCCUUCGAAACACAAGACUAGAAAAAAAAAACUCUAAAAUUCAUACGGAACCACAGAAGACCCUGAAUAGCCAAAGCAAGCUUGAGAAAAAAGAUUUAAAAGAAAAGCUGGAGACAUCACAGCUCUUAGGUCAAAUUAUACUACAAAACUAUGGUAAUCAAAACACUAAGGUACUGGCAUAAAAACAAAUACGUAGACAAAUGGAACAAAACAGAUAGCCCAGAAAUAAGCCCAACCAUACAUGGUCAACUAGUUUUCCACAAAGGCACCAAAGAAUCAUAAUGAGGAAAGGAUGGCCUCUCCAAUAAAUGACCUUGAGAAAACUGUAUAUCCACAUGCUAAAAAAAGAAAAAAAAAAAAAAAAAGGAAAUUGGACCCUUCUCUUCCAACAUGCACAAAAAUCAACUCAAGAUGGACUAAAGACCUAAAUGUAACACCUGAAACCAUAAAAGUCCUAAAGGAAAACACACAAGAAAAACUCUAUGACAUUGGCCUUGGCAGUGAUGUUUUGGAUAUUUCAAGUUAACUCGUCAUUCACUGACUCCACAUAAAAUCCAUCCCUCAAAUAUUCUCAGAACCUAUCACCAAGACUGUGAUCACUUCUUUGGGAUGCUUUAAAGUUAAUUAGGAAAAAUAAAACUGGGUUUUACCUUUGAAAAACUUUCUAACUGUACUGAUGUGCUCAAAUAGAUGGACACAUGAAUGAAAAAUCCAGAAUUUAUUCUUUCCAUGUGGUCUAGGUCCCUCCAUAUGUUUCUCUGGAUUUUGCCAUUCACUGAAUGCACACGAACACUGAAUUUACUCUCUAUUGCUGUGUAACAAGUUAUUGUAAAAUGUAUUGGCUUAAAACAACAAAUACCAUUUUUGCAGCUUCUGUGGAUCAGGAAUCAUGAAGCAGCUUAGUCGGGUAUUUCAGGCUCAGGGCCUCUCAUGAGGUUGCACUGUAGAUGUGAGCCAAGGCUGCCGUCAUCUGAAGACUGGACUAGGGAUGGAAGCUCUGCAUUUGGGAUCAUACUCAUGGCUGUGGCCCGGAGGCCUCAUUUUUUCACCCUUGGGCCUCUCCGUGGGGCUGCUGCCAACAGGGCCUCCCUAGAAGGAAUGACCCAAGAAGAAGAAAGAAAGACCAAGCUAGAAACCACCGUGUCUUUCAUAACCCAAUAUCAGGAAUGAAGAAGCACCUCUUCUGUGUUCUUUUGGUCUCGCAGACCAACCCUGGUACCAUGUGGAAGGAAAUUACACAAGAGUGUGACUAUCAGGAAUUGAGGAUCACUGGGGCACCUGGAGGCUGGAGUCUACAGGUACUUUAUGGCGAGUCAUGGCGAUGGUGAGGAAGCAGCUACUUUCAUCACAGGCUUGCUGGAGGGAGGUUGCUGUGGCCACAGGAGGUGCACCGCGGAUUACAGGACUAAAGGCCUUCUCUGCUUCUUCACAGUGAUCCAUCUCUGCCCAGCACCCAAGUACUGAGUUAACCUACAACGUGGUUCAGAAUUAAAACAUAAAAUGCCAGGGCCCUCCCCCAGUUAGCAGUAUUGGUUGGAAACAUGUUUAGCAGUGAGUAACAGAAGUCCCAAGAAAUAAUGGCUAAAACAAACAAGAGUAUGUGUCUUCACAUAGUAAGGUAUCAAGAGGUGGCUGUCACUUUAAGUUCACUUUCUCAUGGAUGCCAUCAAACACCAGGUUUAUUCAACCUUCAUGCACUGCCAUCACCUUCCCAUCCACGGACUCUUCCGACAUCUGCUGAACGUCAUCACAAGGGGGCUGCCAUAGCUCCACCCGUUGUAUCAGCAUUCAGGGAAGGAGGACAGUGCCAACAAUAUGUCUGCUCAUUUUUUUAAGAGAGGAAAAGACUCUCCUGGAAGUCCACGGCAGCAUUAUGCUUACUUCUUACUUGCCAGAACUUUGUCAUAUGGUCAGACUUUAAAGCAGAGAGGUAAGAAAAUAAAUAAUCCAUCUUCAAGUCUCUAUAGUGGAUGGCAUCAGAAAAGGGGGCAGGGAUGCCUGUUUUAUAAGUCAUCUCACGUUUUCUGCUGCGUCAGCCAACUUAAUAAUUAAUCUACAUUGCCCCCCAUUUACAUUUUUUGCAAAGCAAAAAUGGCAGACUUACACCAGAACCCUAAGGGUACCAUGACACCAUGCAGGCUUUCAUUCAUUCCUUCAUGCUUCCAUUCCCUUAUUCAUUCAUUCAUAUCACAAAUAUGUGUUGGUGGCCUCCUGUAUUUCAGGCCUUUGCUGUCAGUGGAAUACAGCAACACACAAGACAGACACAGUUGCCUUCCCGCUGAGGCUGGACGUCUACAAAGAAACUCUGGACAGCUAUUUGCCAAGGCGAUGGGCACUACAGAUGAGACGCACAAAUGAUAUGACUCAUGGGUGACGCUGGGCAAACCUCGGUGGUUGAGUCCUGUUGGGUUUUCUCAUAGGAGGUGAGUUGGAAGCGGAGACCUACAAGUAGGUCAGAUAGGAUGGUGUGAAAAGAGCCCCACCCAGCCUACAGGGACCACAUGUAGGGAUAAAGAAAGGAGCAGGAUAAUUUCCAAGGACUAGAAUCCCAGCUUGGUUGGAGUUCAGAGCCUGAGAGCAGAAUUUUCUCCAGGACAAGGCAGAAGGAACUUGCGGGAAGCUUCCCCUAUCACCCCUGCUCCCCACACCUGUAGAGAUUAAAUGAAGAUAUCUGUUUCUUAAGCACCUGUACCCCCACCACAGCCUCUGGAAUGUGAUAGGCAUGUAUUUGAUGAAUGAAUGAAUGAAUGAAUGAAUUUCACUCAGCUGACUCUCUCUAAAUUCCAGCUUCCAGUCUGCCUCUUCUGUUGCACAGAAAGCUUUGAGAACCCAGGCUAGGUUUACCAGUUGUUUCUUCUGAGUCUAACACAAAAGACAUGCUUAUUAAUAGCUGUGGAAUUGAUUUGAAUUACAUGCAAACUCCCUCAGAAAAAGACCCAUGUCUAACUGAUCUUUGUACCCUUCAUCCUUGUACUUCAAAGACUUGCACAUAUGCGUCUUCCAUGCACAUUGGGUUGGGGAGGUGGUGAAAAAGAAUGAAGGAAGCCACACUCAACCCGGUUUCCACACUCUCUCCUUCGCUCCUUAGCAGCCACUGGGUGCAUAGGAAAGGGCGGUCUUGUUCUCCCCUAAAGCCCCUGAAGCCCAUGUUUAUUUAUAGCCAGAUUUCUGACACAGACAGACCCCUCUGAAGAACCAUUAAAAUGAGUUCUAAGUAAUGAACAUCAUACCAUGUAGCAGAGACAUCCCCCACUACUUCAAAUUUCCUGCCAAAACAUGCCAAUACACUGGAAGCCAAUUUAUUCUAAAUUACCAAACUAUGCACUUGCAGUUAAUGAAAAGGCUAUUUCUGAAGAUGUGUGCGUGCACACUGAUAUAUUCAGAAGCAAAUGACACCCGUGCUGGUGGAUACACGUUGGUAUUUCACACAACCUCAUUUAAAACCUGCAAGGGACUCAGCCUAGAUUAACUGCAGACUUCGGCAGUCAUGAGGGAUAUGACUAAAAGCCCUUUGAGAGAGGAAAUCCUCUUAAUAAUAUUGCUCUGCCCUGCUGGGAAGAGACAGGGUGAGCCGGCACCUGCCCAUCUCUCUUGUCUUGCCCUCUCCUCUGCCUCACUCUGACAGUGGAGGGGCUGCAGGUUGUGUCAGGUGGUGGGCUCUGUAAGGUCGACAAGCAACCUGGAAAUUUAGGUGGCUGUCUUAGACCUAUUUCUCUCUAUCUAGGUGGGCCAGACUCAGCCUCUGUUCUUCCUGAGCCUGGGUUUCUCUUCUGAAAGCCCACAGCUAGGUCAGCAGGGCCAGCCUGGGCAUCAAGUGGAGACCACAGAAGGAGCCAAGCACACACAGGCCACAGCCAAGCUCAGCCUAGCCCUGGGGCUGGAACCCUGAGUCCUGUUCCGUGGACAGCAUCUUCCCAGCCCCCUCCUUCCCCAGACCCAGUUGGCAUCGUUGGCAUCCAAACUCCACUUCCUGAUCCCAGGCCCUCAGUGCCUUCCUCACACACACACACAGACACAUACACAUACACCCUCUCUCACACACACACCCUCAUUCAAACAUGCAUACACACACACCUAUACACACAUUCACACACACACACCUGUAUGCACGCACAUAUACACACAUUCACACACACAGGUAUGCACAUACACACACGUACACACAUUCACACACACCUAUAUAUACAUUCACACUUACAUGCACACUCACACCUAUAUACAUCCACACACAUCCCUAUACAUAUAUUCACACACACUUAUACACACAUUCACACACUCAUGCACACUCACACCUAUACACAUCCACACACACCCCUAUACAUACAUUCACACACACCUAUACACACAUUCCCACGCUCACACACUCCUAUGCACACAUUCACACACUUACACAAACACACCUAUACACUCAUUUGCACUUACUGUCACACACACCUAUACACACAUUCACACACGCUUGCACACUAUCUCACACACCUAUACACACAUUCACACACUGUCACACACACACUCACAUACACUCCCCUUAACGUAGGCAACACUGUCCACUACCUCCGCUCUUCAGCAGAGGCAAAUCCAGGUUUUGUGGGACCUAAAACUCAUAAUACAACUUUUGGAGCCUUCUUUAAAAAGAAAAACAGGCUUAAAAAUAAAUGCUAAUUUAAAAUUGGAAAAUAAGUCACAAUAAAUUAUGGUAGCCCUUGGAGUUCAGGUUCUUUCUUCUAAGAUUCGUUGGGCCUUGCUAUCAUGAAUAUGAGUCCCGAUUGCAUUCUGGCUUUCCCUCCCCAGCCAGGACGUUCUAUGGCUCCCAGCAGCUCCAGCCCUCAGAAGUCACCGGCCCUGAGGCUUCAGCUUUGUUAGCCUCCAGAGCUUUCCAAGGUGAAAGUGUUGGACACUCUUUCUUCAUCUCAGAUUUAAUCAACUAAGAAUGCUGCAAAUUGAACACCAGUCCACAAAACUCAGGAAUACAUGAAAAGCAUUGUGCCUUAUUUUUAACUAACUCAAAUUCUAUGUCAGUCUCCCUUUUAUGCUGGAUGUUGGCGCUAAAUCUCAGUGGGUUCCUCAUUCUGCCAGACCUGUGUCCAGUUUGGGGGCUUCACAUAGAGCCACCCCAUCACAGGAGAGGGAAGGGUCUUGCUCUUGGUUGCCAUCACUCCACCCUCUUGUCUUCCGAGCUUUGAUGUUCACUUUCCUUUUCACCACUCGGAAGCUUCCUGCCAUGAUACAUUGAGACCUCAAUGUUAAUGCCAAUUGGGGUUUGGGGUUCUCAUAAACUCAGAAGUCCAGGAAAAUCGCCUGCUGCCUCCCACAACACUCUGAGGGCAUUCUGGAAUCCUACCACUUACCUGGAGCCUGCUGGCCUCAACUGUUUUGAAGUCUGUGUCUGGGCCAUGCAGGUAAAUGGGAGGAUGUUCUGUGGCCAUAAAAAUACCCGAAGUCCCACCUAAAGUUGAUGCAGGGUCUUCUGCAUUUCAUUGCAAAAUUGUUCUAUCAUUUCUAUAGUUUUCAGCCUACAGUCAGGGGCCAGGACUUUGCACCCUUGGUAAACCUCAAUCUCUUCUCCUUCCUGGCUUCUACUCCUUUCUCCCUCAAUCCCAAAUCAAGGCCCUUGAUUGUCUGGAGGUAGGAAAGCCUGGUUCUGGCUCAUGAUAUAGUCUACAUCAUAGCCUUUGUCAUCUCAUGGAUUCACUCAACAACCGUGUGUGGAUGGGGCCACCCAAUAUGUGCCAGGAGUUGAGGACACGCAGGGUUAUGAUGAUGAAAUAGAUAAGGGGCCCACACUCACGGACCCUGCAGGACAGUGGAGCUGUGGACCCAGCAUGCGAGUAAAGACCCAGUGAGCUCACCAGACAGAUCAUUUAAAUCAGGUGAUAGGACAGUGAAGGGCGGGGGCUGCAUUAGUUUUGGUGGCAAGAGAAGGAUUAUCUUCUGAGAGGAUCCACAAAGUAAAGAGGGCCGGUAUGACUGGGUAGAGUGAGGACCGUGGUUGAGGCAGAAGAUGGAGCUCUUUAUUGAGCUCUAGGGAGCCCGUCGGAUGGGACCUACGGGGCUUGAGGGAGCCCAUCGGAUGGGACCUACGGGGCUUGAGGGAGCCCAUCGGAUGGGACCUACGGGGCUUGAGGGAGCCCAUCGGAUGGGACCUACGGGGCUUGAGGGAGCCCAUAGGAUGGGACCUACGGGGCUUGGCGGACUUAAUUUUAAAUGUGGAAGAAGCCAUUGCAGAGCCUGAACCUGAGGUGUGGCAUGGUUCGAGUUACUUCAAACCAAAUUUAUUGAAAUCUCUUUGCAUAAAAUGCAAUGCGUAGAUCUUAAGAGUAUAGUUCAAUGAGAUUUGAUAAAUGUAUGCACCAGUGUAACAACUCCUCCAGUCAAGAUAAAGAAACGUCCCUCACUAUUUCCUCAUGCCCCUUCAUAGUCAAUAUCUGAUCCACUCAGCCUAGGCAACCAUUGAUCUGCUUUUAUCACCAUAGAUAUUUGGGUAUGAGUCUUUGUAUGAUCAGCUAUUUUUAUGUUGCUUGGGUAAAUAUUUAGGAAUAGAACUGCUGAGGCCAAGGAUAGAAUAUUUAACUUGAUUGCCGACUGUUUUUCCCAAGUGGUUGUACCACGUUCUGCCUCCACCAGCAUGUGUGAGUUUCCAGGGCUUCUUGUCCUUGCCAGAUACCAGGUGGUUGCAUGCCGUGUCCCAGUGGCUGUUGGGAAUCACAGUAGCUGGGCCCAAGAUGACUCUGGAGGACUUUACAUUUGCGCCCAUCUGUGGGUCCUCCUAUGCCAGUGUUUCCCAAAGCAUGGGCCAUGCGCAUUAUUCUUUCCAAAAUGAUGUCAUAUGGUGCAUAGGAAUGUCAUGGAAUACAAUGGAAUCACUCUGGAAGGAACUUUUCCCUUCUCAGGUGUUGUUUGAAUAUUCCUGAUGUGAUCGAGGAGAUUAACUGCUACUUAACAUCUCUGCACCGCUUGCUAAACUCCUUGUUAAAAUUAUGCUUUUUAUUUUGAAGGAGUUCUAGAUUCACAUGCGUUGUAAGAAAUAACAGAGAGAUUGCAUGUACUCUUCACCCAGUUUCUCCCAAUGGUAACAUCUUGCGAAACUAUGGUGCAAAAUCAAAACCAAAUCUCUUUUUAUAACAAAGAGAGGGUUCCCACCUCAAGCUCAGAUCCUUCCCUGUGUAGCUAGAACUUAGUAACAGUGUUUUAUUUUAUUAUAUUCAGUUUCAAGGGUUACAUUCUAUUUAUAACAAAUGAUACUGGUUUUCCCUUUACAAUAAUGAUAAAAUUUUAUUACUGAGUAAAUUGAUUUAUGUUUAAAAAUUGAGUUAUUUUAAAGAAUAUAUUAUAUAAAUGAUUGUGCUAGCUGUAUGAAAAUGAAAGUGAAUGAUACAUAAUUGAAUUUCAGGAAACACUGAAAACACUGAAGCUACACUAUCAAAUGGAAUGCUUUCCAGACCCUACUUUUUCUACAUUGAACAACUACUAUGAAUCUGAUACAUCAUGAAUAAACCCAUCAAUUCACUGCAUUUAUGCACGCAAUCGAUAUUUAUUGAGGGCCUUAUGAAUGUAACGAUUUUUCUGGGCCUUGAGGAUGACACAAAGAUGAAACAAAUCAGACAGAUAUCCUAAAUUCAAAUAAUGCAUAGCCUUGCAGGGAGACAUUCAUUCACUCCAUGAAUAUUUAUGAGCACCUGGCAGGUGGCAGGUGUAUUCUAAAAAUGAGGAGGAAGCAGCAGAGGCCAGUGGAGUGCAGCUGUUUGGGGGUUCACAUGUCACUGGUAAGACAGACAAAGAGCAGGAUUCAUGGCAUUUUCUAUGAAGAUGACAAAACUUCAUGGAAAAGUAAAUGCUUGGGGAGGAGACAUGGGGAGGCCUUGUUGUACAGGCAGGUCAGGGAUGGUCUAGCUGAGGAGGAGGCACCAGAGCUGAGGCUGACAUAAGAGAAGGAGCCAAACAUGCAAAGAAGCAGUGGGAAAGUGCUCCAGGCACAGCAACAGCAAAUGCCAAGGCUGUGAGCUGGGCAUGAAACGGGUAUAAUUAUUACACAGUAGCUCUAAUUCAGGAAGGAGGAAGGGCCAAGUGUCUGGAAGAUGCAGAGUUUGGAAUAUGGAAGGGAACAGGCAAAGCUGGAAACAGUCUGAGCCCAUAAAGGCUGCACAUCAGCUCUGUAGCCAUCGGUGGAGCUGAAAGAGACAGGACAAAGGCUCAUAGGAAAGGCAGGACCUGUCCUGAGCUUGAACAACAGAGACGACCUUGAGAAACCUAUUUGCAAAAUGCUUCAAGCAUAAAUGCCAUUUCCUACUAUAACUUUCCAUAGUAGCAGGUUGAAUUGAAUCCCCCAAAAUAUUACAUUCAAAUCCUAACCCCCAGUAUCUAUGAAUGUGCCUUUAUUUGGAAACAAUCUCUUUGUAGAUGUCAUCAAGUUAAGAUAACAUCAUACAGGAUUAGGGUGGGCCCUAAAUCCAAUGAUGUCCUUUUAAAAAGCUGGACACAGAAACACAGAGAGGAGAAUGCCAGUCUAAAGUGGAGGCAGAGCUUGGAGGGAUAUGCCUACAAUAAAACAAGAAACACCAAGGAUUUCUGGAGCCAAGAAAGAGGAAUGGAACAGAUUCUCCCUCAAAGCCCUCGGAAGGAACCAACCCUGCCAACUCUUGACUUCCAACUUCUGGCCUCAAGAACUGAAAUAACACAUUUCUGUGGUUUUAGUCCCCCAAGCUGUGGCAACUAUCUUCAGCAGCCCCAGGACGCUAACAUAGCUCUGCUUCCCUUUGCAGAGCUGGGCAGGGAUUCUGCCACCUGAGGGUUUGGCAUCCAAUUCUUCUGUGAGAUAUUUACUCUUAGUGCCUUAGGCGCCAAUUAUUGUCUUUGAUUAAUUUCAGGGCCUCAAAUUGUGAACCCCUCAGUUUUUCUAACAAUGCCCCUCCUAACCCCAGUCAAGGCCAGCAGUGUUGAAGGGUUCAUUGGGAGGGGACCUGCACUGGCUGUUUGGACUAUCAGCUCCACCAGUGCCUACUGUGGCCUGUGCUUUCUUAGCACAUUUUUAAAGAAAUAAGCUAUUGAACUUGUUGAAAUAAUAAAACAACCCAGGAAUCACCUGAUCCAAAUAAACAAACACCAAUUAACUGCCACUGUGGUGGGCAGAUUCUAGGAUGGUCCAAAUGCUACAGCCUUCUGAAAUUCACAUCCUGGAGUGAUCUCUUCACAAGUGUGGGAUGGACCUAGUGACUGGCUCCUAAUGAGCAGAAUAUGGUAGAAGGGAUAAGACGCUGCUUCUGAGAUUGGGUCAUAAAAAGGCUGUGGCUUUUGCCUUGGGCACUCUCUCCUGGCCACAUCCUAAGGCAGUCUCACAGACAGGCUCACUUGGUCAGGAAUGGUGGCCUCCCUACAGACACAUGAAUGAGCUUGCAAACAGACCCCAGUCAGCCUUGAGGUAACUGCAGGCCCAGUAACACCUGGGUGCAGCCUGGUGAGAGACCCCAAGCUGGAACCACCUAGCUCAGCCAUACCCAGAUUCCCAGCCCAUAGAAACUACAAGAUAAUAAAUGUUUGUUGUUUUCAGCCACUAGGUUGUUGGAAUAAUCAGCUAUUCAGCAAUAGAUACCCAGCGUCCUCACUGUGGGGCUGCAGAGUGCUUUGAAUACCAAAAUGUUUAUUAAAGAGGAAAAUUAUCUUGGAUGAGCAUAGAUCAGAUAAGGUCAGAUUAGGGUGCUGUACUUCAUUCAUUCAUUCAGUUAGGUACACUUCAUUCAUUCAUUCAGUUAGCCAGUCAGCCACACUCAUUCCUUUAUUCAUGCUGCUAUGUGCCAAGUAUUGUCCUGGGCACUGGAGAUAAUGAAAAUAAAAACAGCCCCUGUCCAUAAUGACAUCAUAGUCUAAUGAAGAUGACAGGGCAUAUUUAAAUAAUUGCUUUUGUGAGAUAAAUGCUAACAUAUGUUCAGUCACUUUUUCAACCAACAGACAUUUUCUGAGUGCUUGCCAUUGUGCCAACCUUGUGCUAAAUGCUGGGCUUCAUACCAUGGGCAAGACUGGCCUGGGUCCUUUUCUCGUGGAGGCCAUGGUCUGCGUAGGAGGCACUUCACCCUCCAAGUACACACAGGGAAAGAAUAACUGCUCUGUCUGGUCUUAAGGGAGGGCUUCCAAAACGAAGUUCUUGAAGGAAGCCUUGAAAAAAGAGUAGGAAGUACUCUUGUUCCAGUAGUUCUGGCAGAAGAAUGGGAAGGAAAUUCCAAGGAACAGAAUGUGUGUUACUUGGAAGCAUGUGACAAUGUGGUGUGUCUGUGUCUGCAGUCCAGCAAGGAGUUCGACCUCGCUGAAUACUUUGCCUCUGAUACCACAAAGAAGGGUGCUUCUGGAUGUUUACUGCAGCAAGACUUGCAACCCUGGACACUAAGCUACCACCUGAAUGUUCGUGGGUGCCUGUUGUCUACUCAGGAUCCACACCAUGGGCACCACUGUCCCCAAGGAGGGAAGGUAGAGCCCUCCCAGGGUUCUCAGCCUCAGUAUUACUGACUCACUCUGUUGAUAGCCUGUCCUGUGCAGUGUAGGAUGUUUAGCAACAUCCCUGGCCUCUGCCCACUAGAUGCCAGUAGCUCCCCCUCCCACAUUGUGACAACCAACAUUUUCCCUGGGUAUCACCAAAUGUCCCCUGGGUGGGGGCAAAAUUGCUCCCAGGUGAUAAUCACUGCUCUUUAGAACCAACAUAUUAUUAAAAGACCAGAGAAAGACAUGAUCUUAAUUCCUAAUUCUAUGUAAAAAAAAAAGAAAAGUGAAUGUAUGUGCAUGCCCAUAGCUAUAGGAAUUGAUGGCUAAGGUCUAUGGAGCACACUCUUAUGCUCCCCAAGGUUAAAGAAUUUCCAUGAGGAGACAGUGGUGUGACAGAGACACUCAAAGGAGGGUUUAGCCUCUUUCACUCAGUGUACUCUGCAAUGAUUAAAUUGAUUAUAAUAAGAAUGUUUCCAUGUUAUCAGUUGUUUAAAGAAGUUCAAAUAUGCCCUACUCUUAUGGCCAAAGGUAUUUGUAAACAUGUCAAAAAUGGCUAUGGAAGGUCUUGGCAGCAAAGACAGGAAAAGUUAGAAAGUAUAUGUGAGUUCCCUGAGACGGAAGGGAGAAAAACAACGCCAAACUGAAGAUAAGUGUAUCAGUUAUUGCCUACAUGCCAGGAAUACCAUAUGAGAGUUUAAGAAGUUAAAAUAGGCCGGGCGUGGUGGCUCACACCUGUAAUCCCAGC